UCCGAAUUGGUGUAGUGGCUAACAUUUGACGCUCUCAUAUCGCAAGAUGUGCCGUCAAGCCCGGGGUUCGAUUCCCCGAUUCGGAG